AGAGUUUGAUCCUGGCUCAGAUUGAACGCUGGCGGCAGGCCUAACACAUGCAAGUCGAGCGGAUGAGGGGAGUUUGCUCCCUGAUUCAGCGGCGGACGGGUGAGUAAUGCCUAGGAAUCUGCCUGGUAGUGGGGGACAACGUUCCGAAAGGAGCGCUAAUACCGCAUACGUCCUACGGGAGAAAGCAGGGGACCUUCGGGCCUUGCGCUAUCAGAUGAGCCUAGGUCGGAUUAGCUAGUUGGUGAGGUAAUGGCUCACCAAGGCGACGAUCCGUAACUGGUCUGAGAGGAUGAUCAGUCACACUGGAACUGAGACACG
rnacentral:rRNA from 1 species